CUAUUUUAUCGUUUGAGAUGCGGAUUUUAGAUCGUUUAGAGUUAUUAUGAUUGUAUGAUUGUGACUUUGUUAAUUUAUCUAUGGUUUUUGUUAGUCAGGUGGGGGAGAAGGAUAUUAACCCUUUGUACUCUGGAUUUAUAGCACGGUUGGAAUUAGAGCGCAGCUACAUACAAAAUUUUGAUGCAAUGGGAGUAUCAAGUUGAUUAUGUGUGUGGCCAUUGAAGCUGGAGACAAUAUUUGGUGUUCUGGAUUAAAUUAGGGUGACUGUAUUGGUGCAUGAUUCCGUACUAACUACGGGUAUCCUAAAACAAUUUAGUCUAUUGCGUCUUCUUUUUUUUCACAUUAGUGUUGCCUGAGGAUUUGAUGUGAAGGAAGUAUUUACAGGAUUUGAUGUGAAGGAAAAAAAGGAUUAGGAAGAAGAAAGAUUACUCUGAUUCAAACGAAGAAGAAGAGCAAGAUGCUAUUUAUGUGAGUGUAAGAACAUUUAACAAAGUUAGGUUUGUUCUGAUUAGGUUUUUGAAAUUUAAGAUUUUGGAUGAAGUAUUAAAAAAAGGUAUAGGAGAAUGGGGUUGUUGCCAUUAUAACUUUCCAUCUCAGGAGUAAUUUAUAAGUAAGGCUUAAGAAAAAGCUUGCAAUAUUCUUGGCUGCAGAGUAUAAAGUAGAUCUGCAAGAGCUAUAAAAAGACAAUUUUUGCACUUGGUAUUCCGUUUUUAGUAUGUUACAUUGUU